UUUAUCACUUUUCACACAUUGCACAUAGUUGUACAUAUGUUGUAAAUUCUUCUUCUUCUCAUUUUGAUUUUCUCUCUCUUUAGAGUGUUCUUAAGUUGUUCUUAGGCUUUUAGUUCAUAGAAAUUCAAAGGGAAUGGAGUUGGCAAAUGAGAUGCAAAAACGUGAUCUUAUAACCUCAUUUGAAAUCCAAAGUAUCUCAUCAUUGGAUAGAUGGCUCAUGCUCCUACAUAUUGACUUGGAUUAUGGUGUAAUGUUAU
rnacentral:lncRNA from 1 species